UGACGGUACCAUCAGAAAAAGCAACGGCUAACUACGUGCCAGCAGCCGCGGUAAUACGUAGGUUGCAAGCGUUGUCCGGAUUUACUGGGUGUAAAGGGCGUGUAGGCGGAGCUGCAAGUCAGAUGUGAAAUCCCGGGGCUCAACCCCGGAACUGCAUUUGAAACUGUAGCCCUUGAGUAUCGGAGAGGCAAGCGGAAUUCCUAGUGUAGCGGUGAAAUGCGUAGAUAUUAGGAGGAACACCAGUGGCGAAGGCGGCUUACUGGACUGUAACUGACGUUGAGGCUCGAAAGCGUGGGGAGCAAACAGGAUUAGAUACCCUG
rnacentral:rRNA from 1 species